CACCCCAGCCACAACCCCGCCGAGCUGCAAGGCAUCCCGCGGUACCACUCCCAGUCUCCGAGUAUGUGCGACAGGAAAGAAUUUGUCUUCUCUUUCAACGCCAUGGCCUCCUCCUCGAUGCACUCAGCAGGGAGCGGUUCUUACUAUCACCAGCAAGUGACAUAUCAAGACAUCAAGCCGUGUGUUAUGUGAUAUCAGGCGAAGAAGCCGCCUUUUUGGGGGGGGGGACCCUGUAAUCAGGACACCGAGAAAACUUCCUAUGUGGAAGGGGCCUCCCCCAAAGACCCUCUGUGCGGAAAGGGCAGGAGUUAGAUUUGUUUCACGCUGGAGGAACAGAAGGGAAUAAACAGCCUGGCGUUUGGGAACAGUUGGAAACGAAUUAACACUAAGCUAAAGAAGGAGGAAUACGGGCGCCUUUUUGGAAAGGGUAAAGCGGCCACGGGGGGGGCUGUCUCUUUCCUUCGUUCGUAGCAGCGCUCCGGGGCUGGGAUCUCAGUUUCCAAGAUGCACGUGUUUGUUUCUUUAAAAAAAAAAACCCGAGUUCUUAAAAAAAAAUAGAUGGGGUGAAAAAAAUCCCAAAAAUUGUAUUUUAGUCUUAAGAGAAAUAACACGGGUGGGUUUUUUUAAACCCACCUGGGAACAAUUUCAUGAAAGAGUUCGGGAAGGGUUAGGUGGGAAUGAUCCUUAAAACCGGAAGCGAAAUCGUUUGGGAAGGAGACUGGUGGAAUUGUGGCACUGGAGGGUGGAGGAGUCGCUAAGAGCCUUCUUCAGAACACGGUUGGGAUUUCUGGCCACGGGCUCUCCCAACCUUAAGGGAGAGGUAAUAAGUCCUCGAUGGGCUUGGCUAUUCCCUUUACUGGUGUGGGAGGCCUGUCCUGCCCCCUCCAAGCCAGUGGGAGUUUUGUCAUUGACUUCCACGACUUAAAACGCCACAUGCCCCGUUUUCAUGUGGUUGCGCAUUUGUAGCCUGCUCUCCAAAUUGUCCUGUUUUGUAGUUACCUUCUCACCGCUGGGUUAGGCAUGUGCGAAUCCGCACUAUCCACUGACUCAACAUUGGCUCAUGAGGAAGUGGGGGGGUUAGGCGCAGCAAAACAACCCCCAAACUCUCCCAUUGGCUUUCACCAAGUCUCCGUGCUGUUCUCUGCUUUAGAGAUUUUUCUUUUUCUUUCUUUCUUUCUUUCUUUCUUUCUUUCUUUCUUUCUUUCUUUCCCUGCAACCCCGCGUUAGGUAAAAUCUCCCCAAAGGGAGCAAGUGGCCCGCCUAAAACUGCAGGAUCAGAACCGCUGCAGAGAGAAUAAGGCACUUUGAAAAAAAAAAUUAGCAAGGCUCAUUCUGUUAUUUAUUCAACUUUUUUUUUUUUUGCUAAUAAUCGAGACACCAGUAGCCUCCGUUGAUCAGUAUUAAAGUGGUGUAACUUUGUUGGCAAUAUUUGCCAUAUAGUUUUUUUUUUAGUUAUCCAUUGUACAUUUUUUUUAAAUGUCUCUUCUGCGUGUAAAGACAACCCACCCUGUGUUUUAUAUAAAUAUAUAUAUAAUGAAGGGUUAUUUCCUCCCCCUCCCCCUUUUUUGGCCUGCCUUUGUACAGUUCGGUGACACCUAUUUUAUUUUUCUUCUGCACUGUAUUAAAUUGUAAUUGCGAUUUUUUGCCCCCUUUGUGUACGUUUGAAAAAAAAAAAAAAAAAAAAAAGCCCGAACCAAAAUAAAACAUGUAUGUUAUUUGGACAUGGUCUUCACAAUUGUAUAAACAGCAAAUAAAAUAGCAUGCGGUGUAAUACA